rnacentral:rRNA from 1 species
UACGAAGGGUGCAAGCGUUGCUCGGAAUUACUGGGCGUAAAGGGCCAGUAGGCGGCCAACUAAGUCGGAUGUGAAAUCCCCAGGCUUAACCUGGGAACUGCAUCCGAUACUGGAUGGCUUGAAUUCGGGAGAGGGAUGCAGAAUUCCAGGUGUAGCGGUGAAAUGCGUAGAUAUCUGGAGGAAUACCGGUGGCGAAGGCGGCAUCCUGGACCGACAUUGACGCUGAACGGCGAAAGCUAGGGGAGCAAACGGG